ensembl:lncRNA
CCUCUUGUUGUGUUUUCAGGGAUGAAGAGAAGAUGGCUACUGGAUGUUCUCUGGACUGGAUCCUGUAUCAGCAGCAGCAGUGGAAGAUCCAUUUUAGAUCUGGCUAUCAUCAAUAUCAUUUAUUAAUAUCAGAAUACAGACCUUUAGACUAAUGUGAGGAGUGUUGUCCAGUGUUCCUCAGCCCCUUCUGGACAGGUACAUAAUGGGACACUUCACGUUUCCUCAGUCCCUUCUAGACAGGUACAUAAUGGGACACUUCACGUUUCCUCAGUCCCUUCUGGACAGGUACAUAAUGGGACACUUCACGUUUCCUCAGUCCCUUCUGGACAGGUACAUAAUGGGACACUUCACGUUUCCUCAGUCCCUUCUGGACAGGUACAUAAUGGGACACUUCACGUUUCCUCAGCCCCUUCUAGACAGGUACAUAAUGGGACACUUCACGUUUCCUCAGUCCCUUCUGGACAGGUACAUAAUGGGACACUUCACGUUUCCUCAGUCCCUUCUGGACAGGUACAUAAUGGGACAGUUCACGUUUCCUCAGCCCCUUCUGGACAGGUACAUAAUGGGACAGUCCACUUUUCAUCACAUCCCCCAUGGAAAGUUACAGUCCACUUUAACCACCAACACCCCUUGCCUCCAUAACGUACAUGGGACAGUCUCACAUUUCUUCUAGAAUAAGACAUGACAGUCAUCCACUCCAGUUCACCCAAUGGGAUUCCAACAGAAUGACUUAUUCUACUGCACAUGUCUAAAGCACUGCC